UACGUAGGGUCCGAGCGUUGUCCGGAAUUAUUGGGCGUAAAGGGCUCGUAGGCGGUUCGUCACGUCGGGAGUGAAAACUCGGAGCUUAACUCCGAGCCUGCUUCCGAUACGGGCAGACUAGAGGUAGGCAGGGGAGAGCGGAACUCCUGGUGUAGCGGUGGAAUGCGCAGAUAUCAGGAGGAACACCGGUGGCGAAGGCGGAUCUCUGGGCCAUUACUGACGCUGAGGAGCGAAAGCGUGGGGAGCGAACAGG
rnacentral:rRNA from 1 species